GAUGAACGCUGGCGGCGUGCCUAAUACAUGCAAGUCGAGCGAACGGACGAGAAGCUUGCUUCUCUGACGUUAGCGGCGGACGGGUGAGUAACACGUGGAUAACCUACCUAUAAGACUGGGAUAACUUCGGGAAACCGGAGCUAAUACCGGAUAAUAUUUUGAACCGCAUGGUUCAAAAGUGAAAGACGGUCUUGCUGUCACUUAUAGAUGGAUCCGCGCUGCAUUAGCUAGUUGGUAAGGUAACGGCUUACCAAGGCAACGAUGCAUAGCCGACCUGAGAGGGUGAUCGGCCACCCUGGAACUGAGACACGGUCCAGACUCCUACGGGAGGCAGCAGUAGGGAAUCUUCCGCAAUGGGCGAAAGCCUGACGGAGCAACGCCGCGUGAGUGAUGAAGGUCUUCGGAUCGUAAAACUCUGUUAUUAGGGAAGAACAUAUGUGUAAGUAACUGUGCACAUCUUGACGGUACCUAAUCAGAAAGCCACGGCUAACUACGUG
rnacentral:rRNA from 1 species